GUGCUUGCUUCAGCAGCACAUAUGCUAAAAUUAGAACAAUACAGAGAAGAUUAGCAUAGCCCCUGCUCAAGGAUGACACACAAAUCUGUGAAAUGUUCCAAUUAAAA